rnacentral:rRNA from 1 species
GAUGAACGCUGGCGGCGUGCCUAAUACAUGCAAGUCGAGCGAACGGAAGAUAAGCUUGCUUCUCUGAUGUUAGCGGCGGACGGGUGAGUAACACGUGGAUAACCUACAUAUAAGACUGGGAUAACUCCGGGAAACCGGAGCUAAUACCGGUUAAUAUUUUGAACCGCAUGGUUCAAAAGUGAAAGACGGACUUGCUGUCACUUAUAGAUGUAUCCGCGUUGCAUUAGCUAGUUGGUAAGGUAACGGCUUACCAAGGCAACGAUGCAUAGCCGACCUGUGAGGGGGAUCGGCCACACUGGAAUUGAGCCACGGCCCAGCCUACUACGGGAGGCAGCAGUGGGGAAGCGUCCGCAAUGGGAGGAAGGCUGCCGGGACCACGCAGCGUGGGGGGUGAGGGUACUCGGAUCGUAAUACUAUGCUAUGUGGGAAGAAAAGAUGUGUAGGUAACUGAGAACAUCUUGACGGUACCUUAUCAGAAAGCCACGGCUAACUACGUG